rnacentral:rRNA from 1 species
UUAGGCCUAACAAUGCAAGUCGAACGGUAACAGGAAGAAGCUUGCUUCUUUGCUGACGAGUGGCGGACGGGUGAGUAAUGUCUGGGAAACUGCCUGAUGGAGGGGGAUAACUACUGGAAACGGUAGCUAAUACCGCAUAACGUCGCAAGACCAAAGAGGGGGACCUUCGGGCCUCUUGCCAUCGGAUGUGCCCAGAUGGGAUUAGCUAGUAGGUGGGGUAACGGCUCACCUAGGCGACGAUCCCUAGCUGGUCUGAGAGGAUGACCAGCCACACUGGAACUGAGACACGGUCCAGACUCCUACGGGAGGCAGCAGUGGGGAAUAUUGCACAAUGGGCGCAAGCCUGAUGCAGCCAUGCCGCGUGUAUGAAGAAGGCCUUCGGGUUGUAAAGUACUUUCAGCGGGGAGGAAGGGAGUAAAGUUAAUACCUUGCUCAUGACGUACCCGCAGAGAGCACUGCGUUA